AAGAGGGUUCAGGGUAUCCCCUAGUCGUGAGCUCCCGACUAGCACCUCUUACUUGUUUUGCUUGACUCCGUUCAAUCUUGUUUUAGACUUCGUACAUGAAGUUUUCUUUAUUUUUGGUCAAGCAGCAGCCCAGCUCUGGGCACCUGGAGAUUGACUCAUCGACUUCUCAACAGCUUUCGGAAACGCCAUGGAACGGCCUUUAAACAAAAGAACUAAAAAAAAAACCCAACACAUAAAAUAACUAUACAAAAUCUAUAAACAUACCUUUUAUGUAUAUAUAUAUAUAUAUAUACUCACACACAUACAUAUUCCUGUGCCGAGAAAAACCUGGAAAUUUGUACUCUAAAAUGUAAGAUUCAUGUUAGGUUUAGCUCUGAUCAAGUCUGAUUUAUUCAAUGAAAUUAAUUGAAAUGCAAUCAAAUACAAUAAAUGUUGAACAAAUAUUUAAAUAAAAAUAAAAAUAAUUAUAUGUACAUAGCAUAAAUUUCUUAAGAAAUGGCAUAUAAUGAGAAUUUUUUUGUAAUGUAAAUAGUUAUGAUCAGUACGAAUUCAAAAAAAGGUAUAACAAAUCAAAAUCAGACAGAAUUGAGAAAAACGUGUUGUAUUUGAGUAAAAAUAUAGAUUAUCAUAUAUCAUGUGCCAAUCUAUAGUAAAGCUGCUAAUCAAAAUAUGUUUAUAUUAAAUACUGCUGUUAAACUAACAGAGUGUUAAAUUGUGAGUGAUUUAAGCGGACGAAAAAACCGGCGCCCAGAAAAUAAGCAAGCGAUCGAAAUUUGAGUGAGAAUGCAAUUACCACAUUGCUCAGCAUGCGCACACACACACACACAGGCACGCGCGCACAAACGUGAGUCUGCGCCGAGAUGAGCUCAAGCCAGAGAUAAGCAGUCACCAGUUUGUGUGUGUGUUCGCUGUCGUUUUGCUACUUACGCUCGCGCGCUCACGAUGCUGUCUGGUGCUGAUCGCUGAUUGGUCCAAUCAAUAACUGCUGGCAGUGAUGCGCUCGUCUGUUCGUGAGAGCGCUCUUCAAGUCAGUGUGGCCCCAUCAGUCGACAGGGUGUGUUAUUGUGCUGCUAGUGAUAGUCUAUUGAGCCCAUUAUUAUUAAUUUGCUUUACCGUUUCUGGUGGAUGUGCUGAUGGAUAUGUAGAUAAGGCAAUUCUACCUGCAUACACAUGUUUGGAACAACUCACUCAAUAACGUUGGUACCUCACUGAUCUUGCCAUGGAUAUACCUUAAACGAAAUCGUAUUUAAAUCAAAUCAAUAUUUUGUUGAAUUCUGUUAAUUUUAAAGACUCAGGAAUCCUUAAAGCUCAAUCUGGCAACGUUCAUGGACAACAUCUGAUCAGCAACGUUCAUGGUACCUAGUUGACCUUAAUAUCCUUGGUUGUUCCCUAUCAUGGAUAUAGUCCUAGCGAACCUAAAGGACAAAGUUCUUGCAAAAUGCGUAGGAACGGACUCCAAAAUAUGUAUGCUUUUCCUUAACAGCCGCCUCCAGCGACAGUGCCGCGCCCCCUAAAUGGUUGCUAGUUGACUAGCAUAUCCUUGGUUAUGCCAUACCAUUGAUAUAGUCCUUGGGAACCUAAAGGAUCAAAUCGUUGCAAAAUGUGCAUUGAAAUGGUCCAAAAACAUGUAUGCUUUUUCUUUCAGGAGCCCUUUUACAUCAGCUGCAGCCGGCUUACAGCGCUCAUUUAACAUGAGCUGCUAUUUAACAGCACUCAUUUUAAAUGAGUUACAUUUUUGCCCCUUAAUGCUAUGCAAUGAAUAUUUUUAU